rnacentral:lncRNA from 1 species
GCGAGCCGAGCCCUGCGUGGCGGCCAUCGGCCGGCUCCCCCGCUCCUACAAGGCCGACCCCGUGACCCCUGGUAAAACCCUAGCCACUAUCCCCCUCCUCCACCUCGCCUCGUUUCCCCUCGAUCUGGAGCUCACCUGUGAGGAACCGGUGUGCGCCGUCGUCAAAUCCCGUGGCCACCGCCGUUCCCCCGCCCCCUAGAGUUGCUCGGGAGCUCCACCUCCGUCGUCUACGUCCUCUACGCGAACCAUCUCGACCUCAACUCCGCCGCACCAUCGGGAUCGAGUUCUUCUCCGCCUUCAGCCACCGCCGCAUCAUCGCCGGAUUCUUCGCCGUCAGCUCCUCUUCGACCACCCCUGCACCUCCCCUAGCUUGCCCCCAUCAUCACUGUGAGCACCACCAUCUUUUCCCCAUCUCCCUGCUACCGCAUGUGCCUCGUAGCGAACAACCACCGUAGCCAUGCUCCGACCUCCGCUCGGCUUCGCUGCCGCCGCCGUCACCGGACGUAGGUGCUCGUGCUUCUUGCACCUUCGGGCGCGGAGCGUCGCGCUCGUCCUGUAGGACCAAACCCCCGGGCCAAAUGGCCACCGGAGUGCCGAUGCCGCGCUCGCCGUCACCGCGUCUGAAACUCUGCUCCUGUCGCCCUUGGCCACUCCACCCGCACCGUACCCUGUGUCCGGCCGAGCUCCCGCGCGUGCUCGCCGCGCCCGUAGCCGUGCUCCCCCGCGCCACUGUCCGUCCCAGGCCGCGCGCUCGCGUCUGCCCGGCCCGUGCCCCUGCUCCUGCUAGCUGCCGCUGCUACUGCGUGCUGCCUUGCCGCGGCUGCUACCCUCCUCUACAUGCCGCUGCUUGCUCUACUACUGCUGCGCUCCUUCCCCUGUUGCUGCUCGUCCUGCCGCUGGAGCUGCUCUUGUUACUGCCGCUGCUAAUACUUAGCUGAAGCCGUUGCCUUUUUGCUAGCCAUGGUCGUGCACCUGUGUGUGCUUGUGCGUGAUGCACAGCCACAUAGUGGGCCAGCCCAAUUAGUUAAGAGCCUAAUUAAAAGUUAGUUUAGGAUUAUAUUAGUGUUAACUUAGUCUAUAGCAAAUGACAUGUGGGACCCCUCUAAUUAGAUUAAGUAAAUCCAUUUAGAAAUUGUUAAAAUCCUAACAUGUGGGCCCCUAACACUGCUCACUUUUUGACCCAGUCAACUUUGACUAUGCUGAAUUUCUGGCCCCACUUGUCAUACACUCUGGGUAGGAAUUCAUGUGUGCACUUAGCAUGUAUUCAAGUUAAUUCAAAAUUAGUAAUAAUUUCAGGAAUUCUAGAAAUUGAUUAAAACUUUAAAAAUUAAUAUAAAAUAAACCGUAGCUCGGAGGGAAAAACUUUGUACAUGAAAGUUGCUCAGAACGACGAGACGAAUCUGAAUACGCAGCCCGUUCGUCCGCCACACAUCCCUAGCAUAGCAAACAUGCAACUUUCCCCCUCCAGUUCAUCUGUCCGAAAAUGCGAAACGGCGGGGAUACUUUCCCGGAUGUUUCCCCCCUUCGCCGGUAUCACCUCCUACUGCGUUAGGUCACCCCUAGCACCGCGUAUCACCAUGUCAUGCUUUGUGUUGCUUUGAUUGCUCUGUUAUUUAUUAUGUUCCCCCCUCCGUUACUUCUUUCCGGUAGACCCCGAGACUGCCGGCGACCCCCAGUUCGACUACGGU